GAUGAACGCUGGCGGCGUGCCUAAUACAUGCAAGUCGAGCGAACGGACGAGAAGCUUGCUUCUCUGAUGUUAGCGGCGGACGGGUGAGUAACACGUGGAUAACCUACCUAUAAGACUGGGAUAACUUCGGGAAACCGGAGCUAAUACCGGAUAAUAUUUUGAACCGCAUGGUUCAAAAGUGAAAGACGGUCUUGCUGUCACUUAUAGAUGGAUCCGCGCUGCAUUAGCUAGUUGGUAAGGUAACGGCUUACCAAGGCAACGAUGCAUAGCCGACCUGAGAGGGUGAUCGGCCACACUGGAACUGAGACACGGUCCAGACUCCUACGGGAGGCAGCAGUAGGGAAUCUUCCGCAAUGGGCGAAAGCCUGACGGAGCAACGCCGCGUGAGUGAUGAAGGUCUUCGGAUCGUAAAACUCUGUUAUUAGGGAAGAACAUAUGUGUAAGUAACUGUGCACAUCUUGACGGUACCUAAUCAGAAAGCCACGGCUAACUACGUGCCAGCAGCCGCGGUAAUACGUAGGUGGCAAGCGUUAUCCGGAAUUAUUGGGCGUAAAGCGCGCGUAGGCGGUUUUUUAAGUCUGAUGUGAAAGCCCACGGCUCAACCGUGGAGGGUCAUUGGAAACUGGAAAACUUGAGUGCAGAAGAGGAAAGUGGAAUUCCAUGUGUAGCGGUGAAAUGCGCAGAGAUAUGGAGGAACACCAGUGGCGAAGGCGACUUUCUGGUCUGUAACUGACGCUGAUGUGCGAAAGCGUGGGGAUCGAACAGGAUUAGAUACCCUGGUAGUCCACGCCGUAAACGAUGAGUGCUAAGUGUUAGGGGGUUUCCGCCCCUUAGUGCUGCAGCUAACGCAUUAAGCACUCCGCCUGGGGAGUACGACCGCAAGGUUGAAACUCAAAGGAAUUGACGGGGACCCGCACAAGCGGUGGAGCAUGUGGUUUAAUUCGAAGCAACGCGAAGAACCUUACCAAAUCUUGACAUCCUUUGACGACUCUAGAGAUAGAGCCUUCCCCUUCGGGGGACAAAGUGACAGGUGGUGCAUGGUUGUCGUCAGCUCGUGUCGUGAGAUGUUGGGUUAAGUCCCGCAACGAGCGCAACCCUUAAGCUUAGUUGCCAUCAUUAAGUUGGGCACUCUAAGUUGACUGCCGGUGACAAACCGGAGGAAGGUGGGGAUGACGUCAAAUCAUCAUGCCCCUUAUGAUUUGGGCUACACGCGUGCUACAAUGGACAAUACAAAGGGCAGCGAAACCGCGAGGUCAAGCAAAUCCCAUAAAGUUGUUCUCAGUUCGGAUUGUAGUCUGCAACUCGACUACAUGAAGCUGGAAUCGCUAGUAAUCGUAGAUCAGCAUGCUACGGUGAAUACGUUCCCGGGUCU
rnacentral:rRNA from 1 species